rnacentral:rRNA from 1 species
CGCGAAACUGCAUGAGCUAAGAAAUAUGUAUAGUAGUAAAAAAGUGUUGCAUAAUGUGAAGAAUAUUCCUUAGGGGUGAUAGGCCUGCCAAAUGCUGAGAUAACUCGUUUGCUCCCAAACUUAUUAAGUAUAAGGCAAGCCUUAAGUGCUAAGAUUUAAGGCGCGGAUAAAUCUAUUGGGUGAAUCUUUAUCUGGUGUAAAAGCAUAUAAAACGUCAUAAUAACAUUAAUCAAUUAUAGUUAUCAAAAAAAGGAGCAGAUAUGUAAAUAUAAUCUGAUACCCAUAAUGUUAAUAUGAGUAAUAUUUAAGCUACACCAAAUGAACUCGGCUAAAAUUUCUCGACUGUUUACCAAAAACAUAGCCGGUCGUACACAUAAUCGGUGUUUCCUGCUCAAUGACAAGUUAAAUAGCCGCAGUACCCUGACUGUGCAAAGGUAGCAUAAUCAAUUGGCUUAUAAUUGAAGUCUGGAAUGAAAGGAUAUACGGGAAAUUACUGUAUCAGGUGUAUACAAUAAAAUUGAUUAGCAAGUGAAAAUACUUGCACUCAACUGUUAGACGAGAAGACCCUAGAAAUUUGCAUAUGUGUUUUGUUGGGGCAACAUAGUAGGAUGUAACCUACAAUAUGGACAUGGAAUCAUUUAGGUAGAGAAAAUUACUCUAGGGAUAACAGCAUAAUUUAUUAGAGUUUGUGACCUCGAUGUUGGAUUUGGGAAUUAUGGUUCAGAA